rnacentral:rRNA from 1 species
UGGGGAAUCUUCCGCAAUGGACGAAAGUCUGACGGAGCAACGCCGCGUGUAUGAUGAAGGUCUUCGGAUUGUAAAGUACUGUCAUUGGGGAAGAACGGUUUUCUUGAAAAGAUUGGGAAGACAUGACGGUACCCAAGGAGGAAGCCCCGGCUAACUACGUGCCAGCAGCCGCGGUAAUACGUAGGGGGCAAGCGUUGUCCGGAAUUAUUGGGCGUAAAGGGCGCGUAGGCGGGCCUUUAAGUCCGGUGUGAAAGAUCAGGGCUCAACCCUGAGAGUGCAUCGGAAACUGGAGGCCUUGAGGACAGGAGAGGAAAGUGGAAUUCCACGUGUAGCGGUGAAAUGCGUAGAUAUGUGGAGGAACACCAGUGGCGAAUGGCGACUUUCUGGACUGUAACUGACGCUGAGGCGCGAAAGCGUGGGGAGCAAACAGGAUUAG